UUUAGCUCCAUUACGAACCUGAAUACAAAAGAACAGCAAAAUCACAGACCUGGGCAGCAACAAUUAGAAUUCAGUCUGAAUUGAUAGCAGCUGGCAGACCCCAAAGAGUGGCUGCUGAUUUAAUGAAUGUAAUGGAUGCACUGUUUGCUGACGAAAGGAGCUACCUUGGAAAUAAAACAGAAAUGAAGAUAUCUAAUUGGUGCCACAUUAACUAAAGGUCAACAGACCUAUUUGUAUGCAUGCUCAAUUAGAGGAACGGUUACAUUUCAUCUACCCAGCUGGAAAAAGCAAAUAUUUG